rnacentral:piRNA from 1 species
UGUUUAAUUUCUAAUUGUUGUCCUCCUUG